CCUACGGGGGGCAGCAGUGAGGAAUAUUGGUCAAUGGACGAGAGUCUGAACCAGCCAAGUAGCGUGAAGGAUGACUGCCCUCUGGGUUGUAAACUUCUUUUAUAUGGGAAUAAAAUGUUCCACGUGUGGGAUUUUGUAUGUACCAUUUGAAUAAGGAUCGGCUAAUUCCGUGCCAGCAGCCGCGGUAAUACGGAGGAUCCGAGUGUUAUCCGGAUUUAUUGGGUUUAAAGGGACCGUAGGUGGAUUGUUAAGUCAGUUGUGAAAGUUUGCGGCUCAACCGUAAAAUUGCAGUUGAAACUGGCAGUCUUGAGUACAGUAGAGGUGGGCGGAAUUCGUGGUGUAGCGGUGAAAUGCUUAGAUAUCACGAAGAACUCCGAUUGCGAAGGCAGUUCACUGGACUGCAACUGACACUGAGGCUCGAAAGUGUGGGUAUCAAACAGGAUUAGAUACCCCAGUAGUC
rnacentral:rRNA from 1 species